GGAGGGGUGCCGGAGUGGUUUAACGGGACGGUCUUGAAAACCGUUGUCCGCCUCGUGCGGACCGUGGGUUCGAAUCCCACCCCCUCCGCCA
rnacentral:tRNA from 1 species